UCAGGUUUUGUAAUUGGAAUGAGUACAAUCUAAAUCUCUUAACGAGUAGCAAUUGGAGGGCAAGUCUGGUGCCAGCAGCCGCGGUAAUUCCAGCUCCAAUAGCGUAUAUUAAAGUUGUUGCAGUUAAAAAGCUCGUAGUUGGAUUUCUGGCAGGAGUGACCGGUCACGCACUCUGUGCGUGAACUUGUGUUGUCUCUGGCCAUCCUUGGGGAGAUCCUAUUUGGCAUUAAGUUGUCGGGUAGGGGAUACCCAUCGUUUACUGUGAAAAAAUUAGAGUGUUUAAAGCAGGCUUAUGUCGUUGAAUAUAUUAGCAUGGAAUAAUAAGAUAGGACUUCGGAACUAUUUUGUUGGUUUGCGUUACGAAGUAAUGAUUAAUAGGGACAGUUGGGGGUAUUCGUAUUCCGUUGUCAGAGGUGAAAUUCUUGGAUUUCCGGAAGACGAACUACUGCGAAAGCAUUUACCAAGGAUGUUUUCAUUAAUCAAGAACGAAAGUUAGGGGAUCGAAGAUGAUUAGAUACCAUCGUAGUCUUAACCAUAAACUAUGCCGACU
rnacentral:rRNA from 1 species